rnacentral:rRNA from 1 species
GUAAUACGGAGGGUGCAAGCGUUAAUCGGAAUUACUGGGCGUAAAGCGCACGCAGGCGGUUUGUUAAGUCAGAUGUGAAAUCCCCGGGCUCAACCUGGGAACUGCAUUUGAAACUGGCAAGCUAGAGUCUCGUAGAGGGGGGUAGAAUUCCAGGUGUAGCGGUGAAAUGCGUAGAGAUCUGGAGGAAUACCGGUGGCGAAGGCGGCCCCCUGGACGAAGACUGACGCUCAGGUGCGAAAGCGUGGGGAGCAAACAGGAUUAGAUACCCUGGUAGUCCACGCUGUAAACGAUGUCGAUUUGGAGGUUGUGCCCUUGAGGCGUGGCUUCCGGAGCUAACGCGUUAAAUCGACCGCCUGGGGAGUACGGCCGCAAGGUUAAAACUCAAAUGAAUUGACGGGGGCCCGCACAAGCGGUGGAGCAUGUGGUUUAAUUCGAUGCAACGCGAAGAACCUUACCUACUCU